rnacentral:rRNA from 1 species
CAGAGACGCCUUUUUCUUCGGACAUUUUGCAAGGUGCUGCAUGGUUGUCGUCAGCUCGUGCCGUGAGGUGUCAGGUUAAGUCCUAUAACGAGCGCAACCCUUGCCGUCAGUUGCCAACAGGUAAAGCUGGGGACUCUGGCGGGACUGCCGGUGCAAACCGUGAGGAAGGUGGGGACGACGUCAAAUCAUCACGGCCCUUACGUCCUGGGCUACACACGUGCUACAAUGGCCGGUACAGAGAGCAGCCAUCGGGUAACCGAGAGCGAAUCUAUAAAACCGGUCACAGUUCGGAUCGGGGUCUGCAACCCGACCCCGUGAAGCUGGAAUCGCUAGUAAUCGGAUAUCAGCCAUGAUCCGGUGAAUACGUUCCCGGGCCUUGUACACACCGCCCGUCAAGCCAUGGAAGCCGGGGGUACCUGAAGUCCGUCACCGCAAGGAGCGGCCUAGGGUAAGACCGGUAACUAGGACUAAGUCGUAACAAGGUAGCCGUACCGGAAGGU